UUAUAUGCCGGUUCUCGUACGAUCAGUGAAGUUAAACAACGUCAAGCUUGGUCAAUACCUAGGCGGGUGACCGCUUGGGAAUACCGGGUGAUGUCA